rnacentral:rRNA from 1 species
UACAGAGGGUGCGAGCGUUAAUCGGAAUUACUGGGCGUAAAGCGUGCGUAGACGGUUAUUUAAGUCGGAUGUGAAAGCCCCGGGCUCAACCUGGGAAUUGCAUUCGAGACUGAAUAGCUAGGGUGCGGUAGAGGGAAGCGGAAUUUCCGGUGUAGCGGUGAAAUGCGUAGAUAUCGGAAGGAACAUCAGUGGCGAAGGCGCACAUCUGGCCCGAUACUGACGCUGAGGCGCGAAAGCUGGGGGAGCGAACAGG